CUAGCGGCAGGCUUAAUACAUGCAAGUCGUGGGGCAGCAUGAGUAGCAAUACUUGAUGGCGACCGGCAAACGGGUGAGGAACACGUACACAACCUUCCUUCAAGCGGGGAAUAGCCCAGAGAAAUUUGGAUUAAUACCCCAUAAUAUAUUUGAUAAGGCAUCUUAUUAAUAUUAAAGCUUCGGCACUUGAUGAUGGGUGUGCGGCUGAUUAGAUAGUUGGCGGGGUAACGGCCCACCAAGUCUACGAUCAGUAGCUGAUGUGAGAGCAUGAUCAGCCACACGGGCACUGAGACACGGGCCCGACUCCUACGGGAGGCAGCAGUAAGGAAUAUUGGACAAUGGACGAAAGUCUGAUCCAGCCAUGCCGCGUGAAGGAUUAAGGUCCUCUGGAUUGUAAACUUCUUUUAUAUGGGACGAAAAAAGGGCAUUCUUGUUCACUUGACGGUACCAUAUGAAUAAGCACCGGCUAACUCCGUG
rnacentral:rRNA from 1 species